AGUGGGGAAUAUUGCGCAAUGGCCGCAAGGCUGACGCAGCGACGCCGCGUGGGGGAUGAAGCAUUUCGGUGUGUAAACCCCUGUUGCUCGGGACGAACAACGAGUUUCGACUCGUCUGACGGUACCGGGUGAGGAAGCACCGGCUAACUCCGUGCCAGCAGCCGCGGUAAUACGGAGGGUGCGAGCGUUGUCCGGAAUCACUGGGCGUAAAGGGCGCGUAGGCGGUCUGCUAAGCGUGCGGUGAAAGCCUGGGGCUCAACCCCAGGUCUGCCGUGCGAACUGGUGGACUUGAGCACUGUAGAGGCAGGUGGAAUUCCGGGUGUAGCGGUGGAAUGCGUAGAGAUCCGGAAGAACACCGGUGGCGAAGGCGGCCUGCUGGGCAGUAGCUGACGCUGAGGCGCGACAGCGUGGGGAGCAAA
rnacentral:rRNA from 1 species